rnacentral:tRNA from 1 species
CUCUUCGGCGUCCUGCCGGGCGAGCACCGCUCUCCUAAAGCGGGUGUCGCAGGUUCGAAUCCUGCCGGGGGCAC